rnacentral:rRNA from 1 species
CCUACGGGAGGCAGCAGUGAGGAAUAUUGGUCAAUGGACGAGAGUCUGAACCAGCCAAGUAGCGUGAAGGAUGACUGCCCUAUGGGUUGUAAACUUCUUUUAUAUGGGAGUAAAAUGUUCCACGUGUGGGAUUUUGUAUGUACCAUAUGAAUAAGGAUCGGCUAACUCCGUGCCAGCAGCCGCGGUAAUCCGGAGGAUCCGAGCGUUAUCCGGAUUUAUUGGGUUUAAAGGGGGCGUAGGUGGAUUGUUAAGUCAGGUGUGAAAGUUUGCGGCGCAACCGUAAAAUUGCAGUUGAAACUGGCGUUCUUGAGUGGGCGAGAAGUAUGCGGAAUGCGUGGUGUAGCGGUGAAAUGCAUAGAUAUCACGAAGAACUCCGGUUGCGAAGGCAGCAUACCGGCGCCCAACUGACGCUGAAGCACGAAAGCGUGGGUAUCGAACAGGAUUAGAUACCCGUGUAGUC